CUUAACCCAAAACAUCCUUUAAGUUUCCUAAAAGUUGAGCAAAAACACCCUUCGGUAAUAUUUCCGUCUAUAUUUGACAGAUCUUUGUACGUGACUUCUCCUUUUUCCCCCUUUCUCGCAAACUCUUUCCCUCCUUCCUCCUUUUGGCAGAACAAAAAGCCAUUUUUGCGAAGCUUGAGAAAGGGUUUCUAAUGAUGGAACAACUUUUUCUUGGGUGAAGAUUUGUAAAUUUGACGACCUCACUAUUGAAUUUGUGAUACACACCUAACCAGGGUUUCAAACAGUUAGAAGAGGUUAGUAGCAUGAAUGUGCAUCAAGUUGCAUAGCGUCAAAGAUGUGAUAGUCAUUACCAUUUUGUUCACUUUCUAAUGACAGGAUUUAUUUUGAAAUGACUCAAGUUCAUUUUGUAAUGUGAUGACUUCUCAUUUUGUGAUGUCAUGACUUCUAAGCGAAUUAAGUUCAUUCUGUAUGAUGCUAUUAUGAAGUUUUUAGAAUUUGAUUAUUACAUGGUUCAACUUUGGCA